AUGCUCGACACCUACGGGAGGCAGCAGUCGGGAAUAUUGCGCAAUGGAGGAAACUCUGACGCAGUGACGCCGCGUAUGGGAAGAAGGUUUUCGGAUUGUAAACCAUUUUAGACAAGGAAGAAACAAGACAGUACUUGUAGAAUAAGCUCCGGCUAACUACGUGCCAACAGCCGCGUAAUCUGAGCGGGCUGGCAAGGC
rnacentral:rRNA from 1 species